GUCACUUUCCUCACCACCACGCUAUGCCUGCUCGGUAAACAUUGGUCCGAUGGCCGCUGGUGUCCUGUUUUUUUGUGGGUGUGUAAACACGGAAGCAGCCUGACAGAGAGGAGUGGUCAUAUUACUUGUGGCCGAGCUGUUACAUUGUGCAGAGAAAGGUUCCCUCUCGUUUCAGUUCCAACGUGUACCUAAAGACAAGCUUGAAUGCAUCCUGCAGCAAACUUGUGCUGAAGACUGGCACCCACCCUCCGUCUAAGAAAGGGGCUUAUCGAUAUUACUUUCUUUCAUACAAUACAGGUUUGAUAAAAUGA